UGGCCUUCAAAGGGCAGGGGCAUGUGGCUAGGGAACCAUGGACAGAUGGGGUCUUCCUAUCCCCCUGUCUUCUUCCCCUGGCAGGAAGAAGCAUAGAUCUCCCAUCAAUAUGGAAGGUUCAAUUUAAGUCACACCUUAUCCGUUUGGCCCUUUUGGGGGAUCUGUUCCACAGGCAGUCCCUGGGAGUAGGUCAGGGUCUUACCUCCUCACUAUUUCAGCCUCCUGAGAUUUCCCAUUCUACCUACCUGGCAAAGUCUUCCUUCCUCUCCUUCUAUGGUCAGGCUUCAAGCAGAGCUGAACUGAAAAGUUCCAAUAGCAGCAUCCCCCUAGCUGAGGCCUCUCAGCUAGGAGCCCCGCCUCAGGCAGAUGUCACUGAGAAGUGGAGAUGUCUCUUGCCUCUAUCUGGGUCGGUUGUCCCCCACCUGAGGCUGUAAGCUUUCCCAGGACAGGAACCACAUUGACUUCUGCAGCACAAUUAGACACACACACAGAAGGACUCCCCGGAUACAUGUCAGCAGAUCAGCCCUGGGUGACCUGUGCCAAGGAAAGUCAGCAGAAAGCUAGGCUCUUUCCCACCAGUGGUGGCUCAGGAUUGUCCAGGGCGGUUUUGCUGAAAUAAUUGUCCCUGAUUCAAUCUUGGCUGGGAUCCAGCCUUAUCCAGUUGCAGGAUAUAUUCAGCAUUAUGCAAAUGAUGUGGUAGAAGAACCCUAGGAUCUCAG
rnacentral:lncRNA from 1 species